CCUCUGCAGAAAUGCUAUUAGUCAUUUAUCAGACAUAGGCUCUGUCAGCUGAUACAAAACCAGAGAGGAGUAUGGCCCAGACAACAAUAUAAACCUUCUCGGGUAACAGAGUCAUCCCUAAAUCAAAUUCCCAGUCUGGGCCCAACCAAAGAACCUGCUUUUAAUAAAGGAUUGUCAGUCUUAGGCUCCCUCCUUCCAAACACGUACAUUAGCGGGAUCAAGACCUACCCAACAGGGCUUUACCCACUGCUGUAAUAACACAGGAUUAAGGACUAGAAUUACAGGAUGAUGAUACAGCGCGACAAAAAGGUGUUACCUGCGUAUGUUUUGGGAGGACAUUUCAGAUGACCGAUGGAGCAGAAACUGCACUGCUCAUACCAAAUAAGGAGCACUGAAAACGUUCCUUCCAGGUCUUGUUACUUUCUUCGUAAAGUGCUCUGUCAGAGAGAACUGAGUCAAAGACCAUUUCAGUGUUUGAUCCUGUGCUGCCUCUGUCUGCCAUGCACCCUCUCCCCAACACACACGCACCGAGGAAAGCAGAAACAUCCUGGCUUCUUUGAACAAUUAACCCUAAUUCAGGGGAAAGAUAAAUUUUGAAGGGGGUCAGGUUCUCCUCCCCUGUGCACCUGGUAUAGUCAUUUGCAAGUAUGUAGCCUCAUAAAUGGGUACAAAUUACUACAAUCAGUGACUGGAAAAUUUUAAGUUAUUUGCAUUUAUCACGUACUUUGCAGAUGGAUAACAGUAACCAGGUGCAGGGAAGUCGAGAAUCAGGUCCUAUGUUGGUUGCACUGUUACUUAGUAGCAAGUGUAACACCAAAUGCACCUUCUAAAAACAAAUGGCAGUCACUACUUGUUAAUACACAUUGAGUUACACAAUAUUCUGAGAAAUACAAAGACCUUACAUCCUUUCCCCCGGGGAAGAAAAGUUUGCAAUAUUGCUUGUGUUCUGGUUCAGCAAGAGCCAAGGGGUGGUCAGAGCUGUGGAGCUGUUAGAUGGCUGAUCUUCAAGGAAAGGUAAGAUCUGGCAGGCAGGUGAGGCAAUGCAGGGAAAUGAGUUUAGCAUGUGGCUCUAACUUAGCCUGAGGUACAAAAUGAGUCUCAGGUGUCCACUGAUCAUCCACAGAAAAAGUGGCUCUGCUUGAAGCUCCUUCUCAUUACAGCAACAGAGGAAGCCCUGGAGAGAUGAAGCGACAGCCACGUUCUGCUGCCUGUAAUUAUGUGAGGAAGUGAGAGAUGGUGACUCAUGGCUCAGGGGCAGCAGGAGCACAGCUAUGACACCACCGCGUGGCCCUGGAUUAGGAGGUGGAUACUCACAAGAACGUGUUACUUUGUGCAGACAGUUACAUUACAUCACUUGUAAAAAUGGAUCGAGUGUGUUUUACUAGGCACUACUAUUUCUGCAUUUAACGCACUCAGUGUAUAAUUCAGACUCAGCAUGGCAUCUUGAAACUCUGCAAAGAUUUGUCCAUUCACUCUCUUUAAAGCCACAGUCCUCAUCCCCACUUCUGCUUUUUCAUCCAGGAUUUUUCUCUCUUUCUGCCAUCCACAGUGUUUGACUUGGCACAACCCAGUGCUGCCCCAUGGCCCCCACCCUGAGCUUGUCCCUGUUUUACCAGAACACACUAACACAAGGCUCCCUCAGAUGCCAAGGUAUUUCACUGGCUGUCCUACGUGGAAAUAGAUGAGUAGGUGUAUUACUGCUUGUGAACGAGCACAGACUGACCACAGGCUUCAUGGACUUUCUUAUUCAAGACAUUAACACAGUUUGCUGUCCAAGCCUUGAGAUAUUUCUGGAACCCAUCCAUGAGAGAGAGGAAGAACAGCAGGUGGGCCAGAAUACGUAGUUUUAGGGUCUGGAUUUUGCAACAGAACUGAACAAGCACAAACUGCUGUACAAGUGCUUCCUAUUCUCCUAAUACAGAAGGUGAAAUUGUAUCUGGAGAAAUUGUAUCUGUAGGGUUUUCCCCUGGCUAGAGCUUCAUUCUCUGUUAGUGUAACUGUCGGCAAAUGGUGAUUUUGGCAACAAACUUGCCAAAACACUGACUUCCCUGUUGCUCAUGUCCAAUUUACUGAAUGUCUAUGAUUCUAGAUUUAAACUGUUGAUUUUUUCAACGUAUCUAUGCCAUGGCUGUCAAUGAGCACUCAUGCAAAACCCACUCCUAACUAAUAAUUUCAGUUAAUUUGCUUACUUGCAUCUCCAAAUAUGACUAAAAACAACUCCCACCUUUUAAAAUGCCUUUUUUUGGUUUCCAGUUGUAGGAGUCUGCAUGCUAACACUGAAAUCCUGAUCUGACUGCUGCUCUAAUUUGCAUGAGUAUAAAUCAGGAACAGCUGUCUGGUAUACAUGAACUCACAGCCAGAACAUUUAAUUUUUAGGAGGGCAGAUUAGCAAAGGCAAAGGCAGAACCCAGGAAAAAGAAAGGGAUCGUAAAGUAGAAAAGUGAUGGAGCCAGGCACACAGAGGAUACUGUGUCCCCAAAUAGUUCAGCGUCAAAUAACAAAAAUAACUAUAACUUCAUUGCUUUAAGAGCUCAAUUAACCAUGGAGUUACACAGUAGCAAGGAGACACAUCUAAGAAUAAAAGAUUAUAUCAAGUCGAUAUGUCCAGCUAAGGCCUUUCUUUGGUCCAUGCCUGAACCUGUCUUUUGCUCUGUGACCUGAAAUUUAAUCUUUUGUGAAUUAAAUACCCUAAACGUAAUCCUCUGUGAAAUUAAUAUGUAAUCAUCCCUCCAUUAUCAGGGGAAACGGGGUUGAAAAAACUGAAAGAUGGAAAACCUAGAUAAUAGAAGAACUUCUGGGCUAGAGUUGUCCUGUUUAUAAACACUGUGCCCCAGUGUAAACAUCCUGCUCAGUUAAGCUGCAAAGUGCAGAACCAGUUUAGACAUCACUGCAAGUCUAACAUGGCUUAUUCCCAAACUGAGUCAGGCAUCCAGAAAUAAUGGAGAAUAAACUCUGGUUUUUACUGUUACUACAGUGCGCAGGAAUUUUAAUUCGUGUUUGUAAAGUGUGAUGUAGUGAUCUAGAUAGCGUUGUGAUGGUUUUGCAAGCAUCAAUAAAAUAGUCAUUAAAAUGCAAAAAUAAUUUCAAGAAGAAUAAGAUGUCAGCUCUUAAAUAGAAUUGAAGUAACAUAAGUAUCCAGUUGCAGGAAUGAAAGACUUCAUCUAGGGAGAACAGCAACAUCGUACUCCUCAACGCACUGUGGAGGGAGGCAGGAAAGCACUCUCAACUUCCAAAACUAACGAAGAAAAAUACCUGCAAAUUCCAGGAAAAGGAUGAAAAACACUUCAGGCCUGGUAGAUUAUGAUUAUUAACACAUUAGCUUUCCCCAGGUUAUGCUGAAGCCUGUUUACGGAGCUCACUCUGCACGUUUGCUUGUUCUCCCCGGUCGUUGUUUGGAUAAAGAAGCUGAAGACUGAAGCAAAAUUUUCCAGUGCCUGGGUAUACAAAACCUGCCUUCUGGGGGAACGGCAUCAUUUGAAGAAUUUGACAGAACACAUUAGAUUGGAAGCAGAAUAAUCAUCCCACAAACAACCAGAAAAUCAAGUUUAUGAAUAACACACCGAGAAAGACAGCCUGCUUCCGGAUCUGUGAAAAGAGAAAGACAAAACUCAGGAGCUGGGCUGACCGCUGCACUGAUGAUCGUGUGCCUUCAACAUUUAAUCAGAUCAAGAUGCAAAAGAAUAACCUUUGGAGACAAGCUAGUAACACUCAACCAUGGAUAGCUGAGACUUUCAAAUAUGCUGGGGCAGCCAGCUGAUGAAGGGCAAACACUGCAGAAUUGUAUUCCUGAUGCGGAACAAUGUGGAUUAAAUUAACGUUGCCCCUUUGCAUUUACUGCAAAAAGCUGUAUACCCCCUCAGCACCUCAAGCCGGUGACAGUGUAAUCCUCAAUUCACAAACUGUAAAUUUAGAAAAGAUUGGAAUGUGCAACUGAUCAUACCUUGGAUGUUUACACAUGCUGUUUGAUCCCAAAAUACUGGCUUAUGUCAUUAAUGGCUUGUGUCAUGCUCCUUUCUAGCUCCAAAAGUGGCGAAAGUUUACUGUUUUAACUACAGUAGUGAACUGCUUGAAUAAAAGCAAAAAGGAAGCAAAAAAAAGCAUAAAGGGCACAGUAAAGGAUGAAUGUUUUAUUACUGUGAAGAACAACUGUACUUUGAAUAUAAAACUUGAUGUUACUUUCAGCUCUUGAGAUAACCAAAAUAUGCAUGUUAAUGACCCAACUUAUCUUUCCAUGCCUUCACUAUUACAUACUUGAAUUCUUAUCAUGGCAUAACUGGUCUGUUUCCAGUCAUCCUCACUUCUGGUUCUCAUCCUUCAUGACCCCAGAAGUGCAACAUAAUUAAAAAUAAUUGCUUAUUUAUUUGUUUACCCCAGCCCUUCCUAAUGCAUAUGUACUUAAAUUGGGGACUUUUCCCUCUCAUGCCUAAAGCUGUGGGUAUUAACUAAUACCCUUUUGCUAUUAGUGAAUAUAGCCAUAAUUAAUAUACUUAGUACAGAUUUUACUUCAGUCACUUUUAAUUUUUCAGCAUAUUAGAUUUGAAAUGGUAUCCAACCCUUAAAAAGCUUAUUUUUUCAAGCCUUUAAGUACCAAUUCUUCUUUACGUGCAUGCAAGUUUUAUGGAUAUAUGCAGAGCUGGAGGCAAAGUCUAAACCUUAAUGGUUUAUUUCUCCAUGGAAAAACAUUGAUUUUUGCCAAGCUGCUGAGUACCAUUUGAUAGGGAUGAAUACUACUGAUGCUCAAGGACAAACUGAACAUAAUGCAAAUGCAUGAAUGCAAAGUAGGGCCUUUUUCAAUAUUAUAUGAAGACAAUUGAUUUCUAGAAGUACACCUGAGUAGUUCAGUACCAAAAACUGCACAUCUUAUGUGCCUAUAACUGGUGUUUGGCCAUGGUGAUUUUAUCAUCAUGUAGAGCUGGGUCCUUAUUAACGGAACAAAAUAUUAAUUUUAUUGUAAAAAUCCUGCAUUAAUUUUGCUGUAAGUCAUUUUUGUAUCCAAACCAAACCCCUCUUCACUUAGAGAUGCACUUGAUUGUUGACAGUUCUUGUACACUUCUACUGAUGCCGAACACCAGCAGGGACUAAGCUGAGCACUUAAUGCAUCUGGGGUUUAAAACAAGAAAGAAGAGUGGAUAGCUGUCAAGAAAAUCUCCCAUUUCCUUAUGAAGUAUGGUCAUUGUGGGUUUUGUGCUUGGCAUGCUGUCCCCAACACAAACAAAUUCAGAUUUAUUUUUUUACUAUUAUUUUUCUGAUGGAAAUUUUCUCAGAUGCACGUAUUGCUAAAACCUGGUGACUGAUGGAGUUACCAAACCUAAGUUCUGCUUCAGUGUCCUUAGAGCCCAGCCUGUGACAGACAGUAGGAAAAGACAAAUAUCACUGAAAGCAGCCAGGGAUGAGACAUAUCCCAGUCAGGAAGGCUGGUCUGGACUAACAUGACUGACACACACUGGUCAGGCCUAUGGCAAACAGAUCUAUUCCGGGGACCUCUCACUUGCAAAAGACAUUCUGCAGGACUGAGUUUUUGACAGCCACUUGUCCCGAGGUCCGUCUGCCGGGGUGACCUGCCAUGGUGCUGGACUCGGGGAAGGUGCACGGCUCGUGACGCCGCAGCCGCGCCGCCUCCCCAGGGACGGGACCCGGGGAGGGCUCCUUCCCCUCCUCUGCUGACAAAUUGCACAGCUGUGGUGUUACAUGUCAGCACUUGCAUUGCGGAUCUCCAGAGACAAACCAGGAAUGUUCUGCAUGCCAGACAGUGGCGCUGAGCCAUUACAUUAAGACAACCUUCUUGAGGGAACCAUGGGCCCUGGGUGGACAAGAAGAGCGGGAAAUCCUCUCACGUUCUGACCCACAGCCCUGUAAGGAGAGGCAGACUACUGCAGUGAAGCCAGAUCUACAGCUGAAAGAGAAGAUACCUUGCAAAAAUGUGCUAAAUCCACAAGGCCUUUGCUACACAGAUACUACACUGAUUUCAAACAACUCGCAUGGCAUUCAGAUAAGGUAGGUGAGACUCUAUGUCCCUGGAGUCUGAGGUAUGCUUUCAUCGACAUUCAUGCAGAGCCUGAAGUUAUUUGAUGAUGUUUAUCAUCAUCUGGAACACUGCCAGUGGAAAACAUGAUCUUGCUGACCUGGAAUCUAACUCAGCUCCUGCGACCUAUAUAUUCAGGGUAAGAGUCAACAGACAAAUUCACAUUGACAUUUAAUGCAGAGGAGCAAAAGACACUGAAGUUACCCGAAAUGAUCUGCUCACCUGUGGAGGUCGUCUUCUAAAAUGAGCCUUUCGGUUCAGAACCUACAGUUCCUGAACUAUCACAGCUACUAAUCUUUCUCCAGGUCUUUUCCCUUUAGAAAAGCUAAAAGGGUUUUUUAAGUCAUAUUCCUACCAGGAAUCUGAAGAAUCUCCUUUGGAUUGUAAAAUUAGAUUUGGAAAAUAUUUAUCACAUGGACUGAAAAAUGGCAAAGCAAUCUUGAGAGACAGAUGAUUGUGGAGGGGAAAAAAAAAAAACCCUUUUAUUGUAACCACAGAAGAAAAAUAACCAGUAUUAUCUGUGACAAGAGAUCUGUUUAUUGAAACAUAUGACAUCUAGAAUAGGGAAAAUACAAGAAUAAACAGAACUUUGACUUGAA